rnacentral:lncRNA from 1 species
CAGUUUCCUCCUUGCAUCUUCAUCUUCACCUCUCACAUUCCCCUGUGUCACAUCAUAUCACAUCCAUAACUUGUCAAUUUUUCUCAAACAUUCACAAUUAGUCACAUAUACACAAAACUGCACCCACAUAAGGUGCCAAUGCAAUGUGUUUUGGCUUCCAGAUUUGCUCCAAAUCAAAGUUUUAGUCCCUAAAUUCACAAAUGCAUAUAAUGUGUUCCAUUCUUAAAGUGAUUUUGAUCCUUGUGAUUGAAAAAAAGAAUACGAAAACUUCAAUAGAACUUGAACAGAUUCUAAGACAUGUUAGGCUCAACAAAUUUAAAAGAGAGAGUGAGACCUUGGUUUUGUCCCUUGCCUGUGCAGUUUUCUGUUUUGCUGCUUCUGUGGUUUCUGCAGCCUUGUCCUUCAUCUCCGCAGUCUUGUUAUUUGCUGCCUCAGUUGCUUCCCAGGUCUUGUUCUUUGCUGCUUCAGUUGCAUCCCAGGUCUUGUCCUUCAUCUCCGCAGCCUUAUUCUUCGCUGCCUCGGUCGUUUCAGCAGUCUUGUUCUUUGUUGCAUCAGCAGUUUCUGCAGCCUUCUUCUU